rnacentral:rRNA from 1 species
GGGGAAUCUUCCGCAAAUGGGGCGAAAGCCUGACGGAGCAACGCCGCGUGAGUGAAGAAGGCCUUCGGGUCGUAAAGCUCUGUUGUCGGGGACGAAUGUACUCUUUAUCAACAACGAGGAGUAAUGACGGUACCUGACGAGGAAGCCACGGCUAACUACGUGCCAGCAGCCGCGGUAAUACGUAGGUGGCGAGCGUUGUCCGGAAUUAUUGGGCGUAAAGGGAGCGCAGGCGGGAGGCCAAGUCCAUCCUAAAAGUUCGGGGCUCAACCCCGUGAGGGGAUAGAAACUGGUCUUCUUGAGUGCAGGAGAGGAAAGCGGAAUUCCUAGUGUAGCGGUGAAAUGCGUAGAUAUUAGGAGGAACACCAGUGGCGAAGGCGGC